rnacentral:lncRNA from 1 species
GUUUGGACUUCUGAGGAUCCAAAAGCCCAAGAAAAAAAUCUGAGUUCUCACGACAAAGUCACUUCCUGCUACAACACCUGGAAAAUGUCAUGACCCGAGCUAGUCUCACUUCAGAGUCCCUGGUUUCUAGUACGGUGCCUGACAGAUAGAUGACUUUCUUUAUAUGUUGCUGAAGACAGGCAGAGAGGAAGAAAGGAAGAGAGGAUAAAGGGAGGAAUAAACUUGAUAUAAGCAUCUUUGCAUAAUUAACAACUGGGUCAAAUUUUCUUCAUUUCAUUGAGAUUCUUGAUACAAGCCUCUGCUGAUGAAUUGGAUUCCAAAAAGAUAUUGUUGUCCAGGCCACACCAUACGGGACUUACCACUCCCAGUUGCUAACAUCUGCACGUAUUUGCCUGGAGGUCUCCUCUGGUCACCAGAUCCUACUCUGCCUGGGCCACAUGACAAGGUGAUGUGCUGAGGAACAAAAGCCCCCAGGAGUAUCCCUCAAGCAGUGUUGGACUGGAGUUGAGCAGGUCAUGAUCCACAUGAAAAACUGAGGGAAGACAUCCAGGACCUGCUGGAGAGCACAUGGAAAAAAGUUGGGACACAGAAAAGGAAAGCAGCAAGAGUCGGGCAGAGAUUGAUCCCCAAGGAACUUGGAAUACCAUGGGAAAGGUAGGUAGGGGUGUUUCUCCACUCCCCUCACCUCUGUGAUAAACUGCUGACAGCCAAAAUGUCAGGGAGCCUCUUUGCCCUUGCAGGCCUAGGCAAUGCUGUCAGUGGCAAUUUUCGAUCUUCCUGGGGAUAGAGCACCAAGUGACCACCUUGGGCAGGUGUGCUCACACUCCCCUCAGACUCACACUGAGACAGCAGAUGCCAUACUGAUUAUGCACCCAUGGUGGGCCACUGCCCUCCUCAAGGAACCUCAGCCCUUGUGUCACCACAUCACCACAACCCCCACAAAUAUACC